rnacentral:RNase_P_RNA from 1 species
ACAUUCGGACAAUCGCUGGGAAACUAGAGGAAAGUCCAUGCUCGCACGCUCUGAGAUGAGUGUAGUGUUUAUGUAAGACGAAAAAAUAAGUCUUAGCAGUGCAAACUGACGGCGGAAGAAUCCUAAGGCGCAAGCUAUGGAGUAUUCUAUAAAAGUGCCAUAGAGACGAUAUUUAGAGGAAACUUUAAAUGUGGAACGAGGUAAACCCCAUAAGCGAGAAACCCAAAUAUUGGUAGGGGAAUUUGACAUAGCGAACUCAAGCUAAUGUUAGAACAUAAUUCAUUAUGUAGAGAAAUGAUUGUCACCGCAAGGUACAGAACAUGGCUUACAGAA